UUUUUAUAAAUUCAAACUUUGUUUACAAAUUUGUAAUAGAGACUCACUAUGAGUAUGCUAACUUAAUACAAAUCAUUUUGCUGAUAGAAUAUUUAGAUCAGUACACAUGCAUGAAAUAGAAUACAAUCCGACCUUAGCUCAGUUGGUAGAGCGGAGGACUGUAGUAGACGCAGAUUAUCCUUAGGUCACUGGUUCGAAUCCGGUAGGUCGGAAUUUGCUCCCACAUGAGAGCUUUUUAUUUUUCUUUCGUUGUGACAUUAAG
rnacentral:tRNA from 1 species